GUGCCAGCAGCCGCGGUAAUACGUAGGGUGCGAGCGUUAAUCGGAAUUACUGGGCGUAAAGCGUGCGCAGGCGGUUUUGUAAGUCGGAUGUGAAAUCCCCGGGCUCAACCUGGGAACUGCGUUCGAAACUGCAAGGCUAGAGUGUGUCAGAGGGGGGUAGAAUUCCACGUGUAGCAGUGAAAUGCGUAGAGAUGUGGAGGAAUACCAAUGGCGAAGGCAGCCCCCUGGGAUAACACUGACGCUCAUGCACGAAAGCGUGGGGAGCAAACAGGAUUAGAUACCCUGGUAGUCCACGCCCUAAACGAUGUCAACUAGUUGUUGGUAGAGUAAAAUCUAUGAGUAACGUAGCUAACGCGUGAAGUUGACCGCCUGGGGAGUACGGUCGCAAGAUUAAAACUCAAAUGAAUUGGCGGGG
rnacentral:rRNA from 1 species